CCGGGGAAGCUUCUCGGCGCUCUGCGCGCUCGCCUGCCAGCCCUGCCGUCGCAGGCCUGCGCUCGGAGCGCCUGGAGGCCCUGCCCGGGCCCAGGAGCAUUGUGAGCUAGGACGGGACUGCUAGGAGACAGACGCAGAGACCGGCGUCGGAAAGAGAGGCCAGGCAGGAAGAGCGAACACCUCUAAGCCACCAGCCUGUCCGACCACACAGCUGCCACAAGCACAGCCUCCGACCACCGACAGUCGAGCUUUUUGAUCCGCUCCCUCCCCAACCAAAAAAAGCUACGCAGCUACAAGUAAGAGCUCAUUUAAUGAGUUUCUUCUCCUUGGAUUUUGAUGAACUGAAGCAUUUGAUUCCUGAUCCACUUCCUACCUGCCCUAGGUAAUUCCUUAGUAUAUACUUAUGUCUUCUUAUAAAUAACCGAUCAUGUUACUUUCUUUUUCAAGAGAAGAUCAACACUGAUUGUUUGAAACAGACAGUACAGAGACACACAUGCAUCAGGUCUAGGAGGAAGAUCUCACACCUUUCCCAGAGAUGCAGCCCGAUUGCUUCCUAUCUGCUGAGUUUACUGGCUGGCUUAUUCUUCCCUGGGGGAGUUUUGGAGCUGGCUGAGUGGUGAUGGAGGCUGCCAGAUCCUUUGGGACCAUUCUUGCUGGGUUUGCAAUGCUCCUGUUGGCAGGACCUCCUGGAUGACGACGAUCCUGAGUGGCUGGGGGGUGACUUGCUUCUCCCCAGAUGCGGGGACGAACUCCUCUGCUCAUGGUGGGGCCGUCCAGCCCUAGACGGUGAGGAACUAGAUGUUCGGGGCAAGGAUGAGCUUCGAGGAGAGGCACUGGGACUCCUGCGAGGUCUUCCUAUGUAGCCCACACUGGUCAGUAUGUAACCCAGGCCAAGCUGGCCUAAGCUUGACAUUUUCCUGCCUCAGCUUCCCAGGGCUUUAUGCAUCAUCCCAGGACAGCUAUGAAUGAGGCCGACAUACUUGUUGAGGACAACAAAUGACACUGUCAAUAGGUUGAUGAUUGUGGUACAUGGUACCAGUAUGAGUUUGAAAUUUCUGAAUAAUAAAUUCUCAGUAAAACCAA